rnacentral:rRNA from 1 species
AGCAGCCGCGGUAAUUCCAGCUCCAAUAGCGUAUAUUAAAGUUGUUGCAGUUAAAAAGCUCGUAGUUGAAUUUCGAGAUCAAAUUGUUGGUCGUGCCUUGGUACGCACUGGCAUUAUUGGUUUCUCCCUUCUGACGAACCAUGAUGUCAUUAAUUUGGUGUCUUGGGGAAUCAGGACUGUUACUUUGAAAAAUUAGAGUGUUUAAAGCAGGCUCACGUUUGAAUACAUUAGCAUGGAAUAAUGAAAUAGGACGUUUGAUUCUAUUUUGUUGGUUUCUAGGAUCGACGUAAUGAUUAAUAGGGAUAGUUGGGGGCAUUAGUAUUCAAUUGUCAGAGGUGAAAUUCUUGGAUUUAUUGAAGACUAACUACUGCGAAAGCAUUUGCCAAGGAUGUUUUCAUUAAUCAAGAACGAAAGUUAGGGGAUCGAAGACGAUCAGAUACCGUCGUAGUCUUAACCAUAAACUAUGCCGACUAGGGAUCGGAUGAUGUAAUUUUUAAUGA